UCGUGGCUCAACGGAUAGAGCAUCUGACUACGGAUCAGAAGGUUGCAGGUUCGAAUCCUGUCGA
rnacentral:tRNA from 2 species